rnacentral:lncRNA from 1 species
GUGGCUUUAGUGAGAAGAGAGCGGCCUGGAAAACAGCUUCCGGCUGCAGGAACCUUGACAAACUGCAGAGAUUCAGAACGGUAUCUGCAGCAUGGGAGAGCUCCUUAGAGGUAGUCCAAUAACCAAGUAUUAAAAUGCCUGUCCUGGCCUCUUCAGAUAGGAGAUGACUAAGAGGCUAAUUAAAAAUGUGUGUUAAUCGUAGUACUCCACUUAACGUGGUGAAAUUUUUAUUGUUGGGAGAUAUACCAUCUCCACUGGCCCCAAGACUCCAAAAGGAAAGUCACUUUGGGCAUCACUAAUACCAGCCAGCCUGAAAAAAUAUGGCUGCAGUAUGAAUUCAUUUAACUUACGAGUAACAUUUUCACUUUGAAAUUUCACCGCCAGGGUUUUAAAAACUUCCGGCCAGACUUUGUUCCCUGCUCUAGUCCAAUGACAAACUAACCAAAAUUUUAAAUGAGUAACAAUUCUAUUUCAACCACAUUCAUUUAAUAAAGGUUUUUUGUUUUGUUUUGCACACCUAGUAUGUACUGGGGAUGCAAUGCAAAGCAAAAAUAAAUAAAUAAAUAACAGGUCUGGGCUUGACCUCCUGGGACUCACAGCCAGCCCAGUGAGGAAGACGGGCAUUAAACAUGUAAAGACAAACAUAACGUGUAAUUAAAUAUUAUGAUAACUGCUAUGAAGCUUUGCCAAGCAGGAAUAACAAGCGGCCUAGUUUACAUUCAGGACAGUCCAGAAGGGCCUCUUUGAGGACUUGACAUUUAGGCUAAGAUCUGAGGGAUAAGAACGAGAAGGCUAGAAGACAAGCAGUCAGGAAAAGCAUUUCAGGCAUAGGGAAGGGCACACACAAAGGCCGGAGGAAAGUGUGGCAUAUUUGAGAAAUGAAUAUGAAAGACUGGCUGGUGUGCAGUAAGCAAGGCCAGCACGGCUGCAUCACGGGGGACCUUAUAAGCCAUGAUAAGGAUUUUUGUUUUUGUUUUUUAUUUAUUUGUGUUAUUUUUUUUUUUAGACACAGUAUAACUCUGUCACCCAGAUGGCUGGCAGGACAGGAUCCAGUCUCUCCCAUAACAGACUACAGAACAGAGCCUGCCCCAGAUGGACGGUGCAGAGGGAGGUGGGCACGGCAGGAGUCAUCCAGAAGCCACAGGAAUGCUCCUGGAUCCCAGAUCAGGACUCUGAGACCCACCGCUCCAUGCUGGUCUCAUAACAUUCCUCCAGCUUCCAUGAACUGAGGCCCAGUAGCUCUCCACACAUGGAGGAAAGGGAGCUCUGUCCAAACCUGUCCUUGCCAUCAUGAGCAAGUCACUGCAAAGCAUCCCUCACUGAGCCCGAGGCAAGGGGACAUGUGUGGCUGGCAGGUGCCCGAGGCCACUGUGGCAAGCUGGGAAGGACGGAACCUGCCAGCUCCCUGCAGUGCCGAUUCCUCCUCCUGAGGAACAUUUCUUCAAACAGAUCAGUGUUUCUGGAUGAAGGCUGCAGUGGGCAGCAUUAAAAUCCAAGUGGAAUUAAAAACCAAUUAGCACUUAUUUCAGAAAAAAACAGCGGUGGAUCACACGGCAGGGGAACAGGGGGAUUCUGUCUGUGUCUAACCAAAUGGUACUAGCAGAGUGGGUGGAGAACUGAGCCCGGCACACACUUUGGCCGUGCAAAAUAAUGUGAUAGAUCACAGACUGCCAAUUCUAACAUACACAUUUCCCCCAAGUGCCCACCGCACACAAAGAUCAGGAAGGUGGCAGGUGCUUCUGAGGUGGGCAGGAGGUGGCAAUGCCCAAACAC